AGCUUUGCACAGCGGCAGUAUCGUAGCCAAUGAUGUUUAUCCAAGGCACGAUUAUUGCUAAUUGAAAACUUUUCCCAAUUACCCCCCGCCCCCAGUGACGACUUGCAAUAUAGUCGGCACUGACAAUUUUUGAAAGUCUCUAGGGAGA